UUAAGCGACUAAGCGUACACGGUGGAUGCCCGGCAGUCAGAGGCGAUGAAGGACGUGCUAAUCUGCGAUAAGCGUCGGUAAGGUGAUAUGAACCGUUAUAACCGGCGAUUUCCGAAUGGGAAACCCAGUGUGUUUCGACACACUAUCAUUAACUGAAUCCAUAGGUUAAUGAGGCGAACCGGGGGAACUGAAACAUCUAAGUACCCCGAGGAAAAGAAAUCAACCGAGAUUCCCCCAGUAGCGGCGAGCGAACGGGGAGCAGCCCAGAGCCUGAAUCAGUGUGUGUGUUAGUGGAAGCGUCUGGAAAGGCGCGCGAUACAGGGUGACAGCCCCGUACACAAAAAUGCACAUAUUGUGAGCUCGAUGAGUAGGGCGGGACACGUGGUAUCCUGUCUGAAUAUGGGGGGACCAUCCUCCAAGGCUAAAUACUCCUGACUGACCGAUAGUGAACCAGUACCGUGAGGGAAAGGCGAAAAGAACCCCGGCGAGGGGAGUGAAAAAGAACCUGAAACCGUGUACGUACAAGCAGUGGGAGCCUCUUUUAUGGGGUGACUGCGUACCUUUUGUAUAAUGGGUCAGCGACUUAUAUUCUGUAGCAAGGUUAACCGAAUAGGGGAGCCGAAGGGAAACCGAGUCUUAACUGGGCGUUAAGUUGCAGGGUAUAGACCCGAAACCCGGUGAUCUAGCCAUGGGCAGGUUGAAGGUUGGGUAACACUAACUGGAGGACCGAACCGACUAAUGUUGAAAAAUUAGCGGAUGACUUGUGGCUGGGGGUGAAAGGCCAAUCAAACCGGGAGAUAGCUGGUUCUCCCCGAAAGCUAUUUAGGUAGCGCCUCGUGAAUUCAUCUCCGGGGGUAGAGCACUGUUUCGGCAAGGGGGUCAUCCCGACUUACCAACCCGAUGCAAACUGCGAAUACCGGAGAAUGUUAUCACGGGAGACACACGGCGGUGCUAACGUCCGUCGUGAAGAGGAAACAACCCAGACCGCCAGCUAAGGUCCCAAAGUCAUGGUUAAGUGGAAACGAUGUGGGAAGGCCCAGACAGCCGGAUGUUGGCUUAGAAGCAGCCAUCAUUUAAAGAAAGCGUAAUAGCUCACUGGUCGAGUCGGCCUGCGCGGAAGAUGUAACGGGGCUAAACCAUGCACCGAAGCUGCGGCAGCGACACUGUGUGUUGUUGGGUAGGGGAGCGUUCUGUAAGCCUGUGAAGGUGUACUGUGAGGUAUGCUGGAGGUAUCAGAAGUGCGAAUGCUGACAUAAGUAACGAUAAAGCGGGUGAAAAGCCCGCUCGCCGGAAGACCAAGGGUUCCUGUCCAACGUUAAUCGGGGCAGGGUGAGUCGACCCCUAAGGCGAGGCCGAAAGGCGUAGUCGAUGGGAAACAGGUUAAUAUUCCUGUACUUGGUGUUACUGCGAAGGGGGGACGGAGAAGGCUAUGUUGGCCGGGCGACGGUUGUCCCGGUUUAAGCGUGUAGGCUGGUUUUCCAGGCAAAUCCGGAAAAUCAAGGCUGAGGCGUGAUGACGAGGCACUACGGUGCUGAAGCAACAAAUGCCCUGCUUCCAGGAAAAGCCUCUAAGCAUCAGGUAACAUCAAAUCGUACCCCAAACCGACACAGGUGGUCAGGUAGAGAAUACCAAGGCGCUUGAGAGAACUCGGGUGAAGGAACUAGGCAAAAUGGUGCCGUAACUUCGGGAGAAGGCACGCUGAUAUGUAGGUGAAGUCCCUCGCGGAUGGAGCUGAAAUCAGUCGAAGAUACCAGCUGGCUGCAACUGUUUAUUAAAAACACAGCACUGUGCAAACACGAAAGUGGACGUAUACGGUGUGACGCCUGCCCGGUGCCGGAAGGUUAAUUGAUGGGGUCAGCGCAAGCGAAGCUCUUGAUCGAAGCCCCGGUAAACGGCGGCCGUAACUAUAACGGUCCUAAGGUAGCGAAAUUCCUUGUCGGGUAAGUUCCGACCUGCACGAAUGGCGUAAUGAUGGCCAGGCUGUCUCCACGAGACUCAGUGAAAUUGAACUCGCUGUGAAGAUGCAGUGUACCCGCGGCAAGACGGAAAGACCCCGUGAACCUUUACUAUAGCUUGACACUGAACAUUGAGCCUUGAUGUAGGAUAGGUGGGAGGCUUUGAAGUGUGGACGCCAGUCUGCAUGGAGCCGACCUUGAAAUACCACCCUUUAAUGUUUGAUGUUCUAACGUGGACCCGUGAUCCGGGUUGCGGACAGUGUCUGGUGGGUAGUUUGACUGGGGCGGUCUCCUCCUAAAGAGUAACGGAGGAGCACGAAGGUUGGCUAAUCCUGGUCGGACAUCAGGAGGUUAGUGCAAUGGCAUAAGCCAGCUUGACUGCGAGCGUGACGGCGCGAGCAGGUGCGAAAGCAGGUCAUAGUGAUCCGGUGGUUCUGAAUGGAAGGGCCAUCGCUCAACGGAUAAAAGGUACUCCGGGGAUAACAGGCUGAUACCGCCCAAGAGUUCAUAUCGACGGCGGUGUUUGGCACCUCGAUGUCGGCUCAUCACAUCCGGGCUGAAGUAGGUCCCAAGGGUAUGGCUGUUCGCCAUUUAAAGUGGUACGCGAGCUGGGUUUAGAACGUCGUGAGACAGUUCGGUCCCUAUCUGCCGUGGGCGCUGGAGAACUGAGGGGGGCUGCUCCUAGUACGAGAGGACCGGAGUGGACGCAUCACUGGUGUUCGGGUUGUCAUGCCAAUGGCACUGCCCGGUAGCUAAAUGCGGAAGAGAUAAGUGCUGAAAGCAUCUAAGCACGAAACUUGCCCCGAGAUGAGUUCUCCCUGACCCUUUAAGGGUCCUGAAGGAACGUUGAAGACGACGACGUUGAUAGGCCGGGUGUGUAAGCGCAGCGAUGCGUUGAGCUAACCGGUACUAAUGAACCGUGAGGCUUAACCU
rnacentral:rRNA from 1 species